rnacentral:rRNA from 1 species
AUUGAACGCUAGCGGGAUGCCUUACACAUGCAAGUCGAACGGAGUGGCGAACGGGUGCGUAAUGUAUCUGUACGUGCCCAGUAGCGGGGGAUAACUACGCGAUAGCGUAGCUAUUACCGCAUACUUUUGGAGCGGCCGCUAUCGGUUUAGUUAGCUGGUGGGGUAACGGCCCACCAAGGCGACGAUCCGUAGCUGGUUUGAGAGGACGACCAGCCACACUGGAACUGAGACACGGUCCAGACUCCUACGGGAGGCAGCAGUGGGGAAUUUUGGACAAUGGGGGAAACCCUGAUGCAGCCAUGCCGCGUGUGCGAUGAAGGCCUUCGGGUUGUAAAGCACUUUUAGCGGGGAAGCGGUACCCGCAGAAUAAGCACCGGCUAACUACGUGCCAGCAGCCGCGGUAAUUC